AUGCACAAAUGUAUUGGCAGAGCUUGCUGUAAACCUCUGAAUAUGAUGAACUCAGUAUCUGGAUUUGUUAUACUUUCAGGUGGGACCCUCUUCUGACAUGUGAUCUACUGUGAGCUACUUUGACUCCUACAAUGACAAUGUUAUCACUGCCACAUCUCUGGGAACCAGUUAUCCACAAGAACACGGGGCAGAGGUCUGGAAAGGAUCCAGCAGACCAGCUGGUCUGCUUUCCUGCCAUCACAGGAAACUAAUCUGCAGGAGCACAGCUCAUAAAAGAUCGACCUGCCAGAGGACAAGGCUCUGCUUAUUACAGAAAAGCUUCUGAGACAGUGACAGCUGAAAAGAUUACACACUUGCACAGGAAAUUAAAUUUGAUGUAAUAUAGUGAAAGAAUGACAAAAU
rnacentral:lncRNA from 1 species